rnacentral:rRNA from 1 species
CCUUAGAGUUUGAAUCCUGGCUCAGAUUGAACGCUGGCGGCAGGCCUAACACAUGCAAGUCGAGCGGAUGAGAGGAGCUUGCUCCUCGAUUCAGCGGCGGACGGGUGAGUAAUGCCUAGGAAUCUGCCUAGUAGUGGGGGACAACGUUUCGAAAGGAACGCUAAUACCGCAUACGUCCUACGGGAGAAAGUGGGGGAUCUUCGGACCUCACGCUAUUAGAUGAGCCUAGGUCGGAUUAGCUAGUUGGUAGGGUAAAGGCCUACCAAGGCGACGAUCCGUAACUGGUCUGAGAGGAUGAUCAGUCACACUGGAACUGAGACACGGUCCAGACUCCUACGGGAGGCAGCAGUGGGGAAUAUUGGACAAUGGGCGAAAGCCUGAUCCAGCCAUGCCGCGUGUGUGAAGAAGGCCCUCGGGUCGUAAAGCACUUUAAGUUGGGAGGAAGGGCUUGCAGCGAAUACCUGUGAGUUUUGACGUUACCGACAGAAUAAGCACCGGCUAACUUCGUGCCAGCAGCCGCGGUAAUACGAAGGGUGCAAGCGUUAAUCGGAAUUACUGGGCGUAAAGCGCGCGUAGGUGGCUUGAUAAGUUGGAUGUGAAAUCCCCGGGCUCAACCUGGGAACUGCAUCCAAAACUGUCUGGCUAGAGUGCGGUAGAGGGUAGUGGAAUUUCCAGUGUAGCGGUGAAAUGCGUAGAUAUUGGAAGGAACACCAGUGGCGAAGGCGACUACCUGGACUGACACUGACACUGAGGUGCGAAAGCGUGGGGAGCAAACAGGAUUAGAUACCCUGGUAGUCCACGCCGUAAACGAUGUCAACUAGCCGUUGGGAUCCUUGAGAUCUUAGUGGCGCAGCUACACGCAUUAAGUCGAACGGCCCCUGGGC